rnacentral:rRNA from 1 species
AUUGAACGCUGGCGGCAGGCUUAACACAUGCAAGUCGAGCGGAGUGAUGGUGCUUGCACUAUCACUUAGCGGCGGACGGGUGAGUAAUGCUUAGGAAUCUGCCUAUUAGUGGGGGACAACAUCUCGAAAGGGAUGCUAAUACCGCAUACGUCCUACGGGAGAAAGCAGGGGAUCACUUGUGACCUUGCGCUAAUAGAUGAGCCUAAGGCGGAUUAGCUAGUUGGUGGGGUAAAGGCCUACCAAGGCGACGAUCUGUAGCGGGUCUGAGCGGAUGAUCCUCCACACUGGGACUGAGACACGGCCCAGACUCCUACGGGAGGCAGCAGUGGGGAAUAUUGGACAAUGGGGGGAACCCUGAUCCAGCCAUGCCGCGUGUGUGAAGAAGGCCUUAUGGUUGUAAAGCACUUUAAGCGAGGAGGAGGCUCUUUUGGUUAAUACCAAGAUGAGUGGACGUUACUCGCAGAAUAAGCACCGGCUAACUCUGUGCCAGCCGCCGCCGUAA